CCUACGGGAGGCAGCAGUAGGGAAUCUUUCACAAUGGGCGAAAGCCUGAUGGAGCAACGCCGCGUGCAGGAUGAAGGCCUUCGGGUUGUAAACUGCUUUUGUAAGCGAGAAAUAUGAUGGUAACUUAUGAAUAAGGAUCGGCUAACUACGUGCCAGCAGCCGCGGUCAUACGUAGGAUCCGAGCAUUAUCCGGAGUGACUGGGUGUAAAGAGUUGCGUAGGUGGCAUAAUAAGUAGCUAGUGAAAUCUGGUGGCUCAACCAUUCAGACUAUUAGCUAAACUGUUAAGCUCGAGACCGUUAGGGGUAACUGGAAUUUCUAGUGUAGGAGUGAAAUCCGUAGAUAUUAGAAGGAACACCAAUAGCGUAGGCAGGUUGCUGGGACGGUUCUGACACUAAGGCACGAAAGCGUAGGGAGCAAACGGGAUUAGAUACCCGUGUAGUC
rnacentral:rRNA from 1 species